rnacentral:rRNA from 1 species
GACGAACGCUGGCGGCGUGCUUAACACAUGCAAGUCGAACGGAAAGGCCCUGCUUUUGUGGGGUGCUCGAGUGGCGAACGGGUGAGUAACACGUGAGUAACCUGCCCUUGACUUUGGGAUAACUUCAGGAAACUGGGGCUAAUACCGGAUAGGAGCUCCUGCUGCAUGGUGGGGGUUGGAAAGUUUCGGCGGUUGGGGAUGGACUCGCGGCUUAUCAGCUUGUUGGUGGGGUAGUGGCUUACCAAGGCUUUGACGGGUAGCCGGCCUGAGAGGGUGACCGGCCACAUGGGGACUGAGAUACGGCGCAGACUCCUACGGGAGGAAGCAGUGGGGAAUAUUGCACAAUGGGCGGAAGCCUGAUGCAGCAACGCCGCGUGCGGGAUGACGGCGUUCGGGUUGUAAACCGCUUUCGCGUGUGACGAAGCGUGAGUGACGGUAAGGGGUAAAGAGGCACCGGCUAACUACG